CCUACGGGUGGCAGCAGUGGGGAAUAUUGGACAAUGGGGGCAACCCUGAUCCAGCCAUGCCGCGUGUGUGAAGAAGGCCCUCGGGUUGUAAAGCACUUUCAGUGAGGAAGAACGCCUGGUGGUUAAUACCCAUCAGGAAAGACAUCACUCACAGAAGAAGCACCGGCUAACUCCGUGCCAGCAGCCGCGGUAAUACGGAGGGUGCGAGCGUUAAUCGGAAUUACUGGGCGUAAAGCGCGCGUAGGUGGCUUGAUAAGCCGGUUGUGAAAGCCCCGGGCUCAACCUGGGAACGGCAUCCGGAACUGUCAAGCUAGAGUGCAGGAGAGGAAGGUAGAAUUCCCGGUGUAGCGGUGAAAUGCGUAGAGAUCGGGAGGAAUACCAGUGGCGAAGGCGGCCUUCUGGUCUGACACUGACACUGAGGUGCGAAAGCGUGGGUAGCAAACAGGAUUAGAUACCCCGGUAGUC
rnacentral:rRNA from 1 species